GGAACGCCUUAAUGCUACGGG
rnacentral:misc_RNA from 1 species